rnacentral:rRNA from 1 species
GGAUGAACGCUGGCGGCGUGCUUAAUACAUGCAAGUCGAACGAAGAGCUUUUGUAGCAAUACGGGAGCUUCUUAGUGGCGAACGGGUGCGUAACACGUUGGUGACCUGCCCCGAAGUGUGGGAUAACAGUUCGAAAGGAUUGCUAAUACCACAUGUGGCUAUCAGUUUUAGAAUCUGAUAAUUAAAGCAGUAAUGCGCUUCGGGAGGGACCUGCGUCCCAUCAGCUAGUUGGUGAGGUAAUGGCUCACCAAGGCUACGACGGGUAGGGGACCUGAGAGGGUGGUCCCCCACACUGGCACUGAAACACGGGCCAGACACCUACGGGUGGCAGCAGUAGGGAAUAUUGGGCAAUGGGCGAAGGCCUGACCCAGCAACGCCGCGUGCACGAUGAAGGUCUUCGGAUCGUAAAGUGCUUUUCUGAGAGAUGAGAAAGGACAGUAUCUCAGGAAUAAGUCUCGGCUAACUACGUGCCAGCAGCCGCGGUAACACGUAGGAGGCAAGCGUUAUCCGGAUUUAUUGGGCGUAAAGCGCGUGCAGGUGGUUCGGUAAGUUGGAUGUGAAAGCUCCUGGCUCAACUGGGAGAGGUCGUUCAAUACUACCGGGCUUGAGAGCAGUAGAGGGAGGUGGAAUUCCCGGUGUAGUGGUGAAAUGCGUAGAUAUCGGGAGGAACACCAGUGGCGAAAGCGGCCUCCUGGACUGUUUCUGACACUCAGACGCGAAAGCUAGGGUAGCAAACGGGAUUAGAGACCCCGGUAGUCCUAGCUGUAAACGAUGUGAACUUGGCGUCGGCGGGUUCAAAGCCGUCGGUGCCGAAGCCAACGCGAUAAGUUCACCGCCUGGGGACUACGGCCGCAAGGUUAAAACUCAAAUGAAUUGACGG